rnacentral:hammerhead_ribozyme from 1 species
GCACUGCCGAAGAGUCUCACAAUAAGACGAAACGGCCGUACAGUGU